ACCAAUUCUCUACGUUCAUAUGAUCUUGUUCUUGGAGCUUAAGAGCCAUAGACAAAAAUUCCAAUAGCAUGAAAAGGCACCAAGGUGAAAAAGAAAAACAACACAAGAAAACAUAAGGUCUGUUUUAUAGUAAGAACAUCACUAGAAAACUGUAGGUACCUAGUCCCUCACAAGAAUUAUAGUAAGAACAUCACUUGAAAACUGUAGGUACCCAGUCCCUCACAAGAACAAGAUCACUUUUCCAUCACUAAAUUGGGGAUUUUCAUCAUUGGCCACUUAUAUAAGAAAAGCCUUGCUAGCUUGUCCAGCUCAUGAGAAAGAAGGCUUCAACUUUCAAAAACAAAAUACUAAUCAAUGCUCAGAUUAAAAACAACCAUCAUAGCAAUAGACAUCGAAGGAUGGGAAUACAAUGAGUCAGAUGUAAUUAGGAAGGAGAAGCCAGGAAUAAUGAAAUAGUAGUAGGAAUCGUGCACGUACAAUUUUACAUCAUGGUAAGCAUGCUUACCUCUUACCACAAAUAUGCAGCUCCAACUAUGUACUAUUAAUUUAUAAGCUUAGAUCAAUGGAAAUCCAAAGAUGAUUAUAGGUUUAGAUACAAUCUAGCUCCUGAGAGAGUGUGAUAGAGAGGACAUCCAACCCAUAGCAACUCUAACCAAAAGAACUAAAGAGUAGAACUUGAAAAGAAUAUUUUAUACUGACAUUUAGAUUUCUUUAAUAUAGACUAUGAAAAUAAUCAGAGGCGAUUCUACUGAAUAAUGGAUGUGCUCACUGCAGAUUUUUACAGCUACAGCUAUGUUUGCAAAGAACAAACAAUAUCCAUUUACUAUGUGUAACCAUGGAUACAAAUAUAUAAUUUAAUCUCAGGUUGCAGUACUAAUGAACAUUUGACUAGGUUAAACUUAUCAAACGUGCAUAAAGGACAACCUACUGUAAUCUUAGGAACCAUACCUAUAAGCAUUAUACUUGUUGGGAAAUAAAACAAUACUAAAAUCUUUUUAAAUGACGCUAACACAAGCCAUUCCAUUCUUUUUAAAUGAGGUAUACAUUAAUAUUGCUAAAAUAAAUAAAUUCAUCAUAAAAAGGAAUAUUACAGGAUGACAUAAUCAUAGAGAAAUCCAAAAGUGGAGGUAUGGAAUAUGUUCGUCUAAACAUAUGACCGACAUCGUCAGUGAGUAGUUUGACAAAAAAAAAUAGACAGAUGCAUUUAUUCCAAACUGCCACAAAAACAAGCUAUCAGAGAUGUGCUAGUUUUAAGCAAAAAAGAAGCAAAAUCAAACUGCGAGACAUUUUGGGAUGAACAACCAACUAAAAGUGAUUAGAUCAAUUGAUAUUCUAUAUUGAGAAGCAACUUGACUAUCACACUUAAAUGAAAAUAGUUGAAGAGAGGAGAUCUGUGAGGAGAAAUUUGCUACUAACGACAAGGCAGCGGACAAUGAGGAGAUCUGUCAUGAUAUGUGCUAUUUGAUUUACCACUGCAUUUAAUCUUUCACAUAAACAUAAGAAGUUCUUGGGAAAAUCAAUAUCUGCUAAAAUUUUAGCUAUAUCUAACUAUUAGAACUAAACUUAGUAAAACUAAAAGCAACAUACCAAUAGAUGGCAAACUGAAUGCACAUACCAGAAAAUUAAAAUAUUUGCAUCUACAUUCAGUCAUGAAUUUAUUUUGUUUGAAAUGUAUCGAAGAAAAAGGAAAUUUUGUUUGCCGAAUAAAUAAAAUUAAACUUUUAUACUUAAAUUAAUACCUACUCACAUCUAACAACAAUUUAUUCAUACGCACAGGUAUACUAGAUGA
rnacentral:lncRNA from 1 species